UCCUCUUUCUCGCCUCCCCCCCACCUAUGCCAUCCCCUCCCGUGACCACCCUAGCUAGCUUGCGCUACCGCCGUCGACAACACCACGAUGCUGUCGCCGAACCCCUUCUCCCUCUCCUCCUCCUUUCUCUCCGUCCACCAUUGCGCCCUUACCCUUACUCUACUCCCUCUCUAUUUCUCUGUUUUCUCCCCCUCCUUGUCGUCAUGCACCGUCACAAGCCUAGUCACCGGCGUCGAUUUCCUCUCAGCCGUGCGAGAAGCUCUCUCACAUCCACUCAAGUUUCUUCCUCUUCAAGCUCCGAUACCCCACGAUCUCUCCCUCAUCUCUCUGUUUCUCUCAUCUCUAUAAGAGCCCCUUUUAGUUUUUCUGAUUAACUAAGAACUUGGUUUUCAAAUUUUAAUUUUUUUUGUAGAUGGUUGGAUAACUCAAUAAUUCCCUCUUGACUUCUCCACGUCGUUGUCGCAACCUGCAUUCAAGCCACCAUCAUAUAUAUGCUUUCAUAUGAGAUUCUUUUUGUGAUUUAGGGUAUAAUGAAUUUGGUACCAAUGGUGGACUCGCUACAAAGGAGUUGGCUAUGAAAUUUGCUAUUCUCCAAAAAAUCCUACCUUCCAAAUUGGGGGUCUGGGUGCUUGAUGUUGAUGUUUGACAUAUAGCUGCAAUCAAUAUUGCUAUGAAAGUGAUUGGGGGCGUUAUGUUUGUAUUUUACAGCUCCUAUGCAGCUUUUGUCAUGGUUCCAAAGGACAAAGACGAGCUUGCAGCUCUCCAAGCAAGGCUGAGGAGGCAUUUCCCUGUUGAUGCGUACAAUAAAUCUCGAUGAGAACUGGACCCAAACGGCAUCCUUUCUAAUAACAAGCUGGACAAGCUGUUCCCAUUACCAGUUAUCAUUUGAGAAGCAUUAUUUCUUGGUAAUUUGGCUUCAUUGGUGUUGAUAUUUGAGCAUGAAAUGGAGUUGUAUAAAGAUGAAUUAUUUUGAAGUGUUGCGAUUAAGUGAUGGAGCAGUUUUGAGUUUGUAAAGGAUUUGGUAUCGGUGUCUAAAACUUGAAUGUACUGGGAAUGGAUAAGUUUGUAAAAAUAAAUGUAUUGGGAAUGGAUAAUUAGUUUGGCCCUUUCUCUUUUUAAAUUAUUAUAAGUGUCAAUUUUAAUCUCUAAUAUUGGAAUAUAUUUAUUUAAGCCUAUAUUAGACUAUUUGUUAUGAUUAUUUUUAGCUAAAUCUCUUUUUUCUUCUUUUCUUUUUUUUUUGCAUUUU